ACGAACGCUGGCGGCGUGCUUAACACAUGCAAGUCGAACGGAAAGGCCCUGCUUUUGUGGGGUGCUCGAGUGGCGAACGGGUGAGUAACACGUGAGUAACCUGCCCUUGACUUUGGGAUAACUUCAGGAAACUGGGGCUAAUACCGGAUAGGAGCUCCUGCUGCAUGGUGGGGGUUGGAAAGUUUCGGCGGUUGGGGAUGGACUCGCGGCUUAUCAGCUUGUUGGUGGGGUAGUGGCUUACCAAGGCUUUGACGGGUAGCCGGCCUGGGAGGGUGACCGGCCACAUUGGGACGGAGAUACGGCCCAGACUCCUACGGGAGGCAGCAGUGGGGAAUAUUGCACAAUGGGCGGAAGCCUGAUGCAGCAACGCCGCGUGCGGGAUGACGGCCUUCGGGUUGUAAACCGCUUUCGCCUGUGACGAAGCGUGAGUGACGGUAAUGGGUAAAGAAGCACCGGCUAACUACGUG
rnacentral:rRNA from 1 species